GCAGGGGUAGCAUAGUGGCCAUGCAAUCGGCUGCAGACCGAUCUAGGAGAGUUCAAUUCUCUCCCCCUGCU
rnacentral:tRNA from 1 species